GAAAAUCAAGGCUGAGGCGUGAUGACGAGGCACUACGGUGCUGAAGCAACAAAUGCCCUGCUUCCAGGAAAAGCCUCUAAGCAUCAGGUAACAUCAAAUCGUACCCCAAACCGACACAGGUGGUCAGGUAGAGAAUACCAAGGCGCUUGAGAGAACUCGGGUGAAGGAACUAGGCAAAAUGGUGCCGUAACUUCGGGAGAAGGCACGCUGAUAUGUAGGUGAAGCGACUUGCUCGUGGAGCUGAAAUCAGUCGAAGAUACCAGCUGGCUGCAACUGUUUAUUAAAAACACAGCACUGUGCAAACACGAAAGUGGACGUAUACGGUGUGACGCCUCCCCGGUGCCGGAAGGUUAAUUGAUGGGGUUAGCGCAAGCGAAGCUCUUGAUCGAAGCCCCGGUAAACGGCGGCCGUAACAAUAACGGUCCUAAGGUAGCGAAAUUCCUUGUCGGGUAAGUUCCGACCUGCACGAAUGGCGUAAUGAUGGCCAGGCUGUCUCCACCCGAGACUCAGUGAAAUUGAACUCGCUGUGAAGAUGCAGUGUACCCGCGGCAAGACGGAAAGACCCCGUGAACCUUUACUAUAGCUUGACACUGAACAUUGAGCCUUGAUGUGUAGGAUAGGUGGGAGGCUUUGAAGUGUGGACGCCAGUCUGCAUGGAGCCGACCUUGAAAUACCACCCUUUAAUGUUUGAUGUUCUAACGUUGACCCGUAAUCCGGGUUGCGGACAGUGUCUGGUGGGUAGUUUGACUGGGGCGGUCUCCUCCUAAAGAGUAACGGAGGAGCACGAAGGUUGGCUAAUCCUGGUCGGACAUCAGGAGGUUAGUGCAAUGGCAUAAGCCAGCUUGACUGCGAGCGUGACGGCGCGAGCAGGUGCGAAAGCAGGUCAUAGUGAUCCGGUGGUUCUGAAUGGAAGGGCCAUCGCUCAACGGAUAAAAGGUACUCCGGGGAUAACAGGCUGAUACCGCCCAAGAGUUCAUAUCGACGGCGGUGUUUGGCACCUCGAUGUCGGCUCAUCACAUCCUGGGGCUGAAGUAGGUCCCAAGGGUAUGGCUGUUCGCCAUUUAAAGUGGUACGCGAGCUGGGUUUAGAACGUCGUGAGACAGUUCGGUCCCUAUCUGCCGUGGGCGCUGGAGAACUGAGGGGGGCUGCUCCUAGUACGAGAGGACCGGAGUGGACGCAUCACUGGUGUUCGGGUUGUCAUGCCAAUGGCACUGCCCGGUAGCUAAAUGCGGAAGAGAUAAGUGCUGAAAGCAUCUAAGCACGAAACUUGCCCCGAGAUGAGUUCUCCCUGACUCCUUGAGAGUCCUGAAGGAACGUUGAAGACGACGACGUUGAUAGGCCGGGUGUGUAAGCGCAGCGAUGCGUUGAGCUAACCGGUACUAAUGAACCGUGAGGCUUAACCUG
rnacentral:rRNA from 1 species